rnacentral:rRNA from 1 species
UCAGUGGUGGGAAGCCGAGGAGACGGACGGCGGCUUGUCGCCAUUGCCGCCGUUGUGCUCCUCGUUGCCCUGCAUCCUCGCGGGGACGCGGAAUCCGGAGAAGCUGACGCCGGGGCCGAACCCGAUGGCCGACACGGAGGGGUUCAAGCCCCCUUGCGGGUGGUUGUCGUCAGCUUCGACGGUCUCCGGCCAUCCUCGGUCGGAGGGCUGGUUACUGGACUGAAGGGGUCCCCUCUGGAAGAAGAACUGGCUCUGGCCGCUCAGCGCCGCCUGCAUAUGCGCCGCCUGCUGCGACACGUUGAACAGGUAGCCGCCGGUGCUCCCGCCGCCUGGGUCGGCCACGUUCCACGGCAUCAUGCGCUGGCUCGCCGCCUGCUCGCCCCACAUGGCGCCGCCACCGCCGAAUGAGUAGCUGGCCGCACCGGGGAAUAGUGCCUGCUGGCCGGUGCCGUUGCCGUCGUGGCCAUGCGACCGGUGGUGGUGGUGGUGAAACAUAGGGUCUGGUAGAGGCUGCAGUGACAGCCGGAGUUCUUGGCUCUGGCUGCCGGUUCGCGACAAGAGGUCCGGUGUGUAGCCUUGAAAACCCAUGGCCGACGAGUGGGCAGCCACAGUGGACGACGACGGCUCCCCGCCCGCGGUCCCGCCCAUGGGGAAGAAGGACUUGAUCGUGUCGGCGAUGGAGUCCGAGUCGAGCGACGGCGGGAGGAAGCUGAUGCCGCCCGUGGCUCCUCCGGCGCCGCCAGAGCCGGCGAAGUCGAACGACGAGUGCGCGAUGGUGAUGGCCUGCGCCUGGUCGUCCGAGUUGUCGGCGGAGGCUCUUGGUCCUGCUGCACUUCUUGGUGCAGCUGCAGCAGCCGGUAGUGGUGGUGCUGUUGUUGCUGCUGCUCCUCCUGCUGCCCGCCGCCGCCACCUCCACCUCCACCUCCUCUUCCUCCUGCGCCGUCGCCUCCGUGA